GCGUGCCUAACACAUGCAAGUCGAACGGAGUUAUUAUUAUGAAGUUUUCGGAUGGAUUAAUAAUAACUUAGUGGCGGACGGGUGAGUAACGCGUGGGUAACCUGCCUCAUACAGGGGGAUAACAGCCGGAAACGGUUGCUAAAACCGCAUAAGCACACAGCAUCGCAUGAUGCAGUGUGAAAAUAUUUAUAGGUAUGAGGUGGGCCCGCGUCUGAUUAGCUAGUUGGUGGGGUAAAGGCCUACCAAGGCGACGAUCAGUAGCCGGCUUGAGAGAGUGACCGGCCACAUUGGGACUGAGACACGGCCCAAACUCCUACGGGAGGCAGCAGUGGGGAAUAUUGCACAAUGGGGGAAACCCUGAUGCAGCGACGCCGCGUGA
rnacentral:rRNA from 1 species